rnacentral:lncRNA from 1 species
GUUGGGCUCUCGCUGUGCUGGGGAAUCCAAUGUACUCCUGGGUCACGGGCUGUCCAGAAAGCAUGGCUUGGGAGGCCUCAGGAAAUUUACAAUCACGGUGAAAGGCAAAGAGGAAGGAGGCACGUCUUACAUGGCUGGAGCAGGAGGAAGAGGGUGAAGGCACAAGUUCUACCCAUUUUUAAACAACCAGAUCUAAUGGGAACUUAUUAUCACAAGGACAGCAAGAGAGAAUUUACCACCAUGAUGUAAUUACCUGCCAACAGAUCCCUCCUUCAACAUACGGGAUUACAAUACGACAUGAGAUUUGGGCAGGGACACCAAUCCAAACCAUAUCACAAGCAUAAGAGAAAUGUGUUAUCUUUCAUUGCUUCAAGUAUGUAUGUGUGUGUUUCUUUGUUAAAAAAAAAUAAACAUUUUUAUCUCUUGCCAUGUCAGUGGGGGAAUCUAUACAGCUACAAUUAUAGACCAUACUUUAAAAGAGUUAGUUGUAAGUUUAAGAUGAAUAAAACCUGAAGCAAAUGAAAAUCCAUACUUUCUCCAGGAUUUUAUAAAGUGUUAGAGGAUAGUGGUUUCAUAUCAGUCUCUUUAAGUGCAAACCGUAUGCCAAUUUUGUAAAAACCUGCAUUAAUAAAGCAUUAUUUUAAGGACCAUUGGGGAGAUGAAAAAUAAAGGAUAAAUUAUCUUAUUUCUUAAUGCACAAUUUAGUAGAUGAAAAGACAUACUUCAAUAAAUUGGUAUUUGUACUUUUUAGUUUGCUAAUUUUAUCUUUAUUUUUCCAAAUGAAUAGUAACCAUGCUUUUUAACGUGUUAAACAAAACUGCUAUUACCUUAUAUGUGAGAUUCAAGUUCUAAAGAUUCAAAAGCUUUAACUCAAAUUUCAAUAAUGUUUGAAAAUGUCUUGCUGAACUUUAAAGAAAUGUGUGCAAUUUGUGCAAUCAAUAACAGUGUGGCAAACUUAC